rnacentral:tRNA from 1 species
AAUAUGAUAUUCAAAUAUAAGCUUCUAACUUAAUAUUUAAACAGUGUAAAUCUGUUUAUAUUU